ensembl:lncRNA
CUCCUGGCAAUCUUGAUUCCAGCUUGUGCUUCCUCCAGCCCAGUGUUUCUCAUGAUAUAUUCUGCAUAUAAGUUAAAUAAGCAGGGUGGAAAUUAUACAGCCUUGAUGUACUCCUUUUCCUAUUUGGAACCAGUCUGUUGUUCCAUGUCCAGUUCUAACUGUUGCUUCCUGACCUGUAAUAGGUUUCUCAAGAGGCAGGUCAGGUGGUCUGGUAUUCCCAUUUCUUUCAGAAUUUGUACAGUUUAUUGUGAUCCACACAGUCAAAGGCUUUGGCACAGGACCGCAGCCAUGUCUAACUCAAUGAAACUAAGCCAUGCCCUGUGCGGCCACCCACAAUGGGUGGGCAUGGUGGAGAGGUCUGACAGAAUGUGGCCCACUGGAGAAGGGAAUGGCAAACCACUCCAGUAUUCGUGCCUUGAGAACUCCAUGAACAGUGUUAAAAGGCAAAUUGAUAGGGUACUGAAAGAGGAACUCCCCAGGUCAGUAGGUGCCUAAUAUGCUACUGGAGGUCAGUGGAGAAAUAACUCCAGAAAGAAUGAAGGGAUGGAGCCAAAGCAAAAACAAUACUCAAUUGUGGAUGUGACUGGUGAUAGAAGCAAGAUCUGAUGCUGUAAAGAUCAAUAUUACAUAGGAUCCUGGAAUGUCAGGUCCAUGAGUCAAGGCAAAUUGGAAGUGGUCAAACAGGAGAUGGCAAGGGUGAACGUCGACAUUCUAGGAGUCAGCGGACUAAAAUGGACUGGAACGGGUGAAUUUAACUCAGAUGACCAUCAUAUCUACUACUGUGGGCAGGAAUCCCUCAGAAGAAAUGGAGUAGCCAUCAUGGUCAACAAAAGAGUCUGAAAUGCAGUACUUGGAUGCAGUCUCAAAAACGACAGAAUGAUCUCUGUUCAUUUCCAAGGCAAACCAUUCAAUAUCACGGUAAUCCAAGCCUAUGCCCCAACCAGUAAUGCUAAAGAAGCUGAAGUUGAAUGGUUCUAUGAAGACCUACAAGGCCUUUUGGAACUAACACCCAAAAGAGAUGUCCUUUUCAUUAUAGGGGACUGGAAUGCAAAAGUAGGAAGUCAAGAAACACCUGGAGUAACAGGCAAAUUUGGCCUUUGAAUACGGAAUGAAGCAGGGCAACGACUAAUAGAGUUUUGCCAAGAGAAUGCACUGGUCAUAGCAAACACCCUCUUCCAACAACACAAGAGAAGACUCUAUACGUGAACAUCACCAGAUGGUCAACACCGAAAUCAGAUUGGUUAUGUUCUUUGCAGCCAAUGAUGGAAAAGCUCUAUACACUCAGCAAAAACAAGACUGGGAGCUGACUAUGGCUCAGAUCAUGAACUCCUUAUUACCAAAUUCAGACUUAAAUUGAAGAAAGUAGGGAAAACCACUAGACCAUUCAGGUAUGACCUCAAUCAAAUCCCUUAUGAUUAUACAGUGGAAGUGAGAAAUAGAUUUAAGGGUCUAGAUCUGAUAGAUAGAGUACCUGAUGAACUAUUGAAUGAGGUUCGUGACAUUGUACAGGAGACAGGAAUCAAGACCAUCUCCAUGGAAAAGAAAUGAAAAAAGGCAAAAUGGCUGUCUGGGGAGGCCUUACAAAUAGCUGUGAAAAGAAGAGAAGUGAAAAGCAAAGGAGAAAAGAAAAGAUAGAAGCAUCUGAAUGCAGAGUUCCAAAGAGUAGCAAGAAGAGAUAAGAAAGCCUUCUUCAGCGAUCAAUGCAAAGAAAUAGAGGAAAAGAACCGAAUGGUAAAGACGAGAUCUCUUCAAGAAAAUUAGAGAUACUAAGGGAACAUUUCAUGCAAAGAUGGGCUCGAUAAAGGACAUAAAUGGUCUGGACCUAACAGAAGCAGAAGAUAUUAAGAAGAGGUGGCAAGAAUACACAGAAGAAUUGUACAAAAAAGAUCUUCAAGACCAAGAUAAUCACAAUGGUGUGAUCACUCACCUAGAGCCAGACAUCCUGGAAUGUGAAGUCAAGUGGGCCUUAGGAAGCAUCACUAUGAACAAAGCUAGUGGAUGUGAUGGAAUUCCAGUUGAGCUAUUUCAAAUCCUGAAAGAUGAUGCUGUGAAAGUGCUGCACUCAAUAUGCCAGCAUAUUUGGAAAACUCAGCAGUGGCCACAGGACUGGAAGAGGUCCGUUUUCAUUCCAAUCCCAAAGAAAGGCAAUGCCAAAGAAUGCUCAAACUACUGCACAAUUGCACUCAUCUCACACGCUAGUAAAGUAAUGCUCAAAAUUCUCCAAGCCAGGCUUCAGCAAUACGUGAACCAUGAACUUCCAGAUGUUCAAGCUUGUUUUAGAAAAGGCAGAGGAACCAGAGAUCAAAUUCGCAACAUCUUCUGUAUCAUCAAAAAAGCAAGAGAGUUCCAGAAAAACGUCCAUUUCUGCUUUAUUGACUAUGCCAAAGCGUUUGACUCUGUGGAUCACAAUAAACACGUCUCUAGGUAUUGCCAAGUGGCCCCUGCAGGCAAAAUUGCUCCUGGUUGUGAAACAUGGUUGUAGAGGACGUUGCAAGAUGUUUUGACAACCAAAUCUGAAUUUCUUUGUGAGGAAUUGCCUCUGUUCAUCAAGAUAAAUUCAUGUGCCUAUUCUCCCAUCAUAAAAACUGGCCUUACUGCCUGUGUGCUCGCUCAGUCUCAACGACUCUGAGUCGCACGACUGAAGCGACUCAGCAGCAGCAGCAGCAGCAGUGUUGAAAUGGCCAACAGCAGGCAUGAGUGAGUUAUGCUGUGAAAAUCUUAGUGGAGCGCCAUGGAUGUAAUCUUAUGGUCCUGUGUGAGUUCAGAGGGAGGUUUUAC